rnacentral:lncRNA from 1 species
AGGUGUCGCUUUCCUGGCCUCUGAAUCCACUGCUAACAGAACAUGUGGUUCCAACAUCUGGGGUUUGUAGCCUGCAAAAAUCUAAUCAUGAAGACAGAGAGAUUGUCACAAAUUCCCAUAACGCACUUUGGGUAUCUCGGCUCUUGGCCUGUUUGGAGCAGGGGCCGGUGGCAGCCUGUGCAUACAGAAGUAGUUCACGCUCCCCAAGAUGAUGGAAGAGGUGCUGAACACCUCAAGGAGCUCCCUGUGCACUCUGCCACAGACAGCCUGUAGCUCCCCUGCCUCACACCCACAAGGCGCCAAAGGCAUUGUCUCUGCACGGCCAGGGGUUUUUGCAGAGCCUCUGGGCAUCCUGGGAAUGACACUAAGAACAGCAUCCAGAGAGACACCCACCUACCAGGCAAGGGGUGGGGCUCUACAGUGAAAGAUGGACCUAAGGAAUCAAUGGAGAUACACAGGCCAGCUACCAGCACAGAGAGCAGCAGGCGCUAGGUGGGAAUGUGGCUUUGUGCCUCAGCACUUGCAGAGGGAAGGACUCUAUCCCUGCCAUGGCACUGUUUCUCAAAGUCAGAUGCUAGAAGCUGACUGCCCAUGUAGCAAUGCUGAGUCCGGGCCUAAUAAGAAGUGAUUGGGUCAUGAGGACCAGGUCUUCAUGAAUGGAGAAUGUGGUGGUUUGAAUAUGCUUGGCCCAUGGGAAGGGGAGCCAUUAAGAGGGGGUGGUCUUGUUACAGGAAGUGUGUCAUUGUGUAGGCGGGCUUCAAGGUCCUAUGUUCAAGCUCUGCCUAGUGUGGAAAGGAGAGCCUCCUCCUGGCUGUCUGCCAAUUAAGAGGCUGUUCCUCCAGUACCAUGUCUGCCUAAACGAUGCCGUGUUUCCUGCCAUGAUGAUAAUAGACUGAACUUUUGAAACUGUAAGCCAGACCCAAUUAAAUGUUUGCCUUCAUAAGA